rnacentral:rRNA from 1 species
CCUACGGGUGGCAGCAGUGAGGAAUAUUGGUCAAUGGGCGCGAGCCUGAACCAGCCAAGUCGCGUGAGGGAGGACGGCCCUACGGGUUGUAAACCUCUUUUGCCGGGGAGCAACGGGCGUCACGUGUGGCGCCACUGAGAGUACCCGGAGAAAAAGCAUCGGCUAACUCCGUGCCAGCAGCCGCGGUAAUACGGAGGAUGCGAGCGUUAUCCGGAUUUAUUGGGUUUAAAGGGUGCGCAGGCGGAAGAUGAAGUCAGCGGUAAAAUUGAGAGGCUCAACCUCUUCGAGCCGUUGAAACUGGUUUUCUUGAGUGAGUGAGAAGUAUGCGGAAUGCGUGGUGUAGCGGUGAAAUGCUUAGAUAUCACGAAGAACUCCGAUUGCGAAGGCAGUUCACUGGACUGCAACUGACACUGAGGCUCGAAAGUGUGGGUAUCAAACAGGAUUAGAUACCCUUGUAGUC